rnacentral:rRNA from 1 species
UACGUAGGGUGCAAGCGUUAAUCGGAAUUACUGGGCGUAAAGCGUGCGCAGGCGGCUAUGCAAGACAGAUGUGAAAUCCCCGGGCUCAACCUGGGAACUGCAUUUGUGACUGCAUAGCUAGAGUACGGUAGAGGGGGGAUGGAAUUCCGCGUGUAGCAGUGAAAUGCGUAGAUAUGCGGAGGAACACCGAUGGCGAAGGCAAUCCCCUGGACCUGUACUGACGCUCAUGCAC